rnacentral:rRNA from 1 species
CUUUCUAAAGAGUGACGGGCGAUUUGUGCAUACUCACUUUCUAAAUUAAAAUGAGAUUAAUUUUCCCCGUUUAGUUUUCAAGUCCUAUUUUCUAUUAUUUCUUUUUUAUUCCAAAUUUUUUUUAUUUGUAUCCCAUAAUCUUCUUUUUUAUUUGUUCUGUCUUGAUUUGCUUUUCAAUUUAUUAAAUUCUUUAAAUAGACUCUUUUAAGUUAUUUUUAAAACAAUGAUAUAGAAACUAAUAAAAAGAGUACCUUUCAUCGUGGUUUAUCUAUUACGAAACAGGAUCCCCUGCAAAGAUUGAGUACCGCCAUCUUAUUUUAACUUUCGUUUAUUUAACUACUAUUUUUAAUUUUUUUAAAA